AGUGAACGCUGGCGGUAGGCCUAACACAUGCAAGUCGAACGGCAGCACAGUAAGAGCUUGCUCUUACGGGUGGCGAGUGGCGGACGGGUGAGGAAUACAUCGGAAUCUACCUUUUCGUGGGGGAUAACGUAGGGAAACUUACGCUAAUACCGCAUACGACCUACGGGUGAAAGCAGGGGAUCUUCGGACCUUGCGCGAUUGAAUGAGCCGAUGUCGGAUUAGCUAGUUGGCGGGGUAAAGGCCCACCAAGGCGACGAUCCGUAGCUGGUCUGAGAGGAUGAUCAGCCACACUGGAACUGGGACACGGUCCAGGCUCCUACGGGAGGCAGCAGUGGGGAAUAUUGGACAAUGGGCGCAAGCCUGAUCCAGCCAUACCACGUGGGUGAAGAAGGCCUUCGGGUUGUAAAGCCCUUUUGUUGGGAAAGAAAAGCAGCAGGUUAAUACCCCGCUGUUCUGACGGUACCCAAAGAAUAAGCACCGGCUAACUUCGUG
rnacentral:rRNA from 1 species